GACAUCAUGUCUGUAGUGCGUAGUGCACACGAACGCAGACCCGAAAGUGGAAGCCGUUCCGGCUCAUAAGAUGGCGAACUCGUGUCCGGUGUACUCGACAAAUGAUAUAACUUUAUCUUUUCUGAUGGUGAACUGAAGAAUAAGAGUGCACUCAUGUGGAGCCAUGCUUGUGUAGCACUGCGGUAGACGUGUCCGAAUAAUUCAUAAAGAAGACUCCGAAUUCUCUCCCAGAUAUCACACUCUACUCGCAUCAUAAAAAUGGCUACGGGUUUGUACAUCGUGCCACGCUUUCGUCAUCCAAUAGAUAAGUUUAAUGCGACCACGUGCUUGUGUUACUCUAAAUAAGGUAGAAAAUAUUUUAGUCAAAAUUCAGUUAGUCCAAAGAUUUUAAUUUAAGUAAAGCAUUUC